rnacentral:rRNA from 1 species
CCUACGGGGGGCUGCAGUGGGGAAUAUUGGUCAAUGGGCGAAAGCCUGAUCCAGCCAUGCCGCGUGUGUGAAGAAGGCCUUCGGGUUGUAAAGCACUUUCAGUGGGGAAGAAAGCCUUGGGGCUAAUACCCUCGAGGAAGGACAUCACCCACAGAAGAAGCACCGGCUAACUCCGUGCCAGCAGCCGCGGUAAUACGGAGGGUGCGAGCGUUAAUCGGAAUUACUGGGCGUAAAGCGCGCGUAGGCGGUCUGAUAAGCCGGUUGUGAAAGCCCCGGGCUCAACCUGGGAACGGCAUCCGGAACUGUCAGGCUAGAGUGCAGGAGAGGAAGGUAGAAUUCCCGGUGUAGCGGUGAAAUGCGUAGAGAUCGGGAGGAAUACCAGUGGCGAAGGCGGCCUUCUGGACUGACACUGACGCUGAGGUGCGAAAGCGUGGGUAGCAAACAGGAUUAGAUACCCUUGUAGUC